UGGGGAAUAUUGGACAAUGGGCGCAAGCCUGAUCCAGCCAUGCCGCGUGAGUGACGAAGGUCUUCGGAUUGUAAAGCUCUUUUGGCGGGGACGAUAAUGACGGUACCCGCAGAAUAAGCCCCGGCUAACUUCGUGCC
rnacentral:rRNA from 1 species